GGCUCUAUGGGGCUGCAAUGGGUCCCUAUGGAUUCUAUGGGGCUAAAAUGGGGCCCUAUGGGGCUGCAAUGGGUUCUAUGGGGCUAAAAUGGGGCCCUAUGGGUUCUAUGGGGCUAAAAUGGGUCCUAUGGGGCUAAAAUGGGGCUGCAAUGGGUCCCUAUGGGGCUGCAAUGGGUCCUAUGGGGUUAAAAUGGAUCCCUAUGGGGGGGGGUCUCUAUUGCUGCACCACAAAAGAGAAACGAUUUAAAGCUGAAUUGAGUGGCCAUGUUGGCUGGGUGGCCGCCAUGUUGGGGCGGGGGGGGUCCGCCAUGUUGGCUGGGUGGCCGCCAUGUUGGGAGGGGCGUCCGCCAUGAUGGGGGGAGGGCCGCCAUGUUUUGGGGGCGAAAAUAGGCUGAAAAAGGGCAGAAUUGGGACAAAAGGGAACUGAGGUGGGAAAAGGGGGAAAGCGGGAUGGAAAUGGGGUGAAAACGGGGCCGGGGGGGGCGGAAAUGGGGCAAAAAACAACAGAAAUGGGGCAAAAUAAGGCGGAAAUGGUGGAGCCUCACCGCUAGGCCGCAGCGCUGCCCGUCGCCAUAGCAACUCUUUUUUCCGGCCUGAGAGAAGAUGGACAGGAGCGCGGGCCAAUCAGCGCACAAGGCGGGAUGGGGAGCUUGUGGAGCUGCUCUUUGAUUGGCUGGGCCGGCACGAAGGGGCGGUGCGCAAGGGGGAUUGACGCCUCGUUUAACCAAUGGGAAGGCAGCGCCAUCGCUUCCAUUACUUUAUUGGUGCUGUGUGAUAUGGGGGUGGGGGGGUCGGCCGCCAUGUUGGGAGGGGUCGGCCGCCAUGUUGGGAGGGGUCGGCCGCCAUGUUGGUUGGGGGGUCGCCAUGUUGGGAGG
rnacentral:lncRNA from 1 species